rnacentral:rRNA from 1 species
GUGGGGAAUAUUGGGCAAUGGGGGCAACCCUGACCCAGCAACGCCGCGUGAAGGAAGAAGGCUUUCGGGUUGUAAACUUCUUUGACCAGGGACGAUAGUGACGGUACCUGGAAAACAAGCCACGGCUAACUACGUGCCAGCAGCCGCGGUAAUACGUAGGUGGCGAGCGUUGUCCGGAAUUACUGGGUGUAAAGGGCGCGUAGGCGGGACUGCAAGUCAGAUGUGAAAUUUUCCGGCUUAACCGGGAACGUGCAUUUGAAACUGUAGUUCUUGAGUGAUGGAGAGGCAAGUGGAAUUCCUAGUGUAGCGGUGAAAUGCGUAGAUAUUAGGAGGAACACCAGUGGCGAAGGCGACUUGCUGGACAUUAACUGACGCUGAAGCGCGAAAGCGUGGGGAGCAAACAGGAUUAGAAACCCUAGUAGUCC